AUGUGUUAAAAAGUAAAUCUAAUUUAAAUUGAUUCUUCUUUCGUUGGAAAAACAAGAAAAGGGGGGUAGGAUUAAACGCACGAUGUUUAAAAAAAAAAACGAGGAAACAUUUGUUUAAAAGAAAAUAAAAAGAUAAAGUAGUCAUUUUUAUUCGUUCGAUAAUAAAGUUUAUGAUUACGUUCGGUUACUGUAUAUAUAUAUAUAUGUGUGUGUUUGUGUGUUAUGAGAACGAUGCGCUCGCGCAACAAUGGCGAAGAAGAUGAGGAUGAUACGAUGGCAACACGGAACGACACUGCCAAUGCGAGAAACAGAAGAGGUGGCAUACACGAACGUAGCCGAAGAACAUUGUCCAUCGUAUUUGUACAUUUAGAAGAAGAAGAAGAAGAAGAGUAGGGGAAACCACGAUUCACAUG